rnacentral:rRNA from 1 species
ACUCCUACGGGAGGCAGCAGUAGGGAAUCUUCCACAAUGGGCGCAAGCCUGAUGGAGCAACACCGCGUGAGUGAAGAAGGGUUUCGGCUCGUAAAGCUCUGUUGUUAAAGAAGAACACGUAUGAGAGUAACUGUUCAUACGUUGACGGUAUUUAACCAGAAAGUCACGGCUAACUACGUGCCAGCAGCCGCGGUAAUACGUAGGUGGCAAGCGUUAUCCGGAUUUAUUGGGCGUAAAGAGAGUGCAGGCGGUUUUCUAAGUCUGAUGUGAAAGCCUUCGGCUUAACCGGAGAAGUGCAUCGGAAACCGGAUAACUUGAGUGCAGAAGAGGUAGUGGAACUCCAUGUGUAGCGGUGGAAUGCGUAGAUAUAUGGAAGAACACCAGUGGCGAAGGCGGCUACCUGGUCUGCAACUGACGCUGAGACUCGAAAGCAUGGGUAGCGAACAGGAUUAGAUACCCCUGGUAGGAUAGCG